UACAGAGGCCUCGAGCGUUAGGCGGAAUCACUGGGCUUAAAGCGUGUGUAGGUGGAUGCCUAAGUACUUUGUGAAAUCCCACGGCUUAACCGUGGAAUUGCUUGGUAUACUGGGUGUCUUGAGCCACUCAGGGGCUACCGGAACAAACGGUGGAGCGGUGAAAUGCGUAGAUAUCGUUUGGAACGCCAAUGGUGAAAACAGGUAGCUGGGGGUGUGCUGACACUGAGACACGAAAGCCAGGGGAGCGAACGGG
rnacentral:rRNA from 1 species